rnacentral:lncRNA from 1 species
GGAGGAGGAGGAGGAGGAGGGAAUGCAGUCAUCCGCAUUAAACAGGGCAUCUAUACCACACCCACUUCUCUCAAGGCUCAGGAACCACUGAGGAUGAUAGGGAGGAAAGACUAAAAGUUAGAGCAGAGGAUAGAUGGCAAAAAGGAGAAAGUGUGAUCCAGACACAAUAGGGCUGUUGCACAUACAAAUUGUCAACAGUUGACACAGCAUACACGAGGCUUGCACAAUCUCCAACCAAACAAAAUUCCAACAUGGAGAGGUGAGUCUAAAUAAACCAAAGGAUGAGAAAUGACAUUCUUGGGGACUUGAUAAUGAGGAAAGAGGAAGUCGAGAACAUGUGCAAAAUGAAGGCGAUAGAUUUUGUGGUCUAACAGAGAAGAUAAAAUGACUCCGCAUGCAACUGUGCCGACAGAAAUGGUACUUUUAAGCACAACUGUCC